UGACGGUACCCUUUCGAAUAAGAGGUUGCUAACUCUGUGCCAGCAGCAGCGGUAAUACAGAGACCUCGAGCGUUAUCCGGAUUUACUGGGCGUAAAGCGUCUGUAGGGGGUUUGUUAAGUUCCAAGUAAAAUCUUAAAGGCUCAACUUUAAGUUCGCUUGGAAAACUAAUAAACUGGAGUCCAGCAGAGGUGCAUGGAACUUGCGGUGUAGGAGUGAAAUCCGUUGAUAUCGCAAGGAACACCAAAGGCGAAGGCAUUGCACUGGGCUGGUACUGACCCUGAGAGACGAAAGCGUGGGGAGCAAAACGGAUUAGAUACCCGUGUAGUCCACGCCGUAAACGAUGGAUACUAGAUGUUCGGGGAUUCGACCCCCUGGGUGUCACAGCUAACGCGUUAAGUAUCCCGCCUGGGAAGUACGGCCGCAAGGCUAAAACUCAAAGGAAUAGACGGGGAUCCGCACAAGCGGUGGAGCGUCUGGUUUAAUUUGAUAGUAAGCAAUGGACCUCACCAAGGUUUGACAUCCUAUGACAACCCUGGAAACAGGGCUUCCUUCGGGCAUAGUGACAGGUGCUGCAUGGUCGUCGUCAGUUCGUGCCGUGAGGUGUUCCGUUAAGUCGGGAAACGAACGAAACCCUCGUCGCAUGUUACAAAUUUCAUGCGAGACUGCCCGGGUCAACCGGGAGGAAGGCGGGGAUGACGUCAGAUCAGCAUGGCCCUUAUACCUUGGGCUACACAGGCGCUACAAUGGCCGGUACAAAGGGUUGCAAAACCGCGAGGUGAAGCUAAUCCCAUAAAGCCGGUCCAAGUUCGGAUUGGAGGCUGCAACUCGCCUCCAUGAAGUUGGAAUCGCUAGUAAUCGUGGAUCAGCCAUACCACGGUGAAUACGUUCCCGGAUCUUGUACUCACCGCCCGUCACACCAAGAGAGUUGGUAGCUCCUGAAGCGUCGCAUUAG
rnacentral:rRNA from 1 species